CUCGCCGCCUGCAACCCCGCGGCCUCCGCUCCCCUCGCCGUCCGCGCGCACACCGUGACGAAGAACGAGAAGUCCCUCAACCAGAGCCUCGCCCAGUGGAAGCUCUUCAUAUGCAACCUGACCACCGGUGAGUUCCUGGGGCGCACCGCCAACAGUUGGGGUUUGAUCUUGCUCUUCUACCUAGUUUUUUAUGAGUUCCUGGCUGCACUCUUCUCAUUCACGAUGUGGGUUAGGCUUCAGACUCUAAACCAAAUACCGUGUUCCAAAAUACCGUGACCAGAUUCCUAGCCCAGGACUUACGGUUUUUCCAAAACCAGUGACUGCAUUGGAAUAUACAUUCAGUAGGUCUGAUCCAACUUCGUAUGCAGGGUACAUUGAAGACCUUAAGAAGUUUCUAAAACCAUAUACUUUAGAAGAACAGAAGAACCUCACAAUCUGUCCUGAUGGAGCACUUUCCGAACAGAAGGGUCCAGUUUAUGUUGCAUGUCAGUUUCCUAUUUCGUUACUUCAAGCAUGCAGUGGUAUGAAUGAUCCUGAUUUUGGCUAUUCUCAAGGAAACCCUUGUAUUCUUGUGAAAAUGAACAGAAUAAUUGGAUUAAAGCCUGAAGGAGUGCCAAGGAUAAAGUGUGUUUCAAAGAACGAAAAUAUACCAAAUGUAGCAUUUUAUCCUCAUAAUGGAAUUAUAGACUUAAAAUAUUUCCCAUAUUAUGGUAAAAAAACUUCAUGUGGGGUAUCUACAGCCAUUGGUUACUGUUCAGGUCAGCUUUGCUCCUAACAAUACUGGGAAAGAAGUAACAGUUGAGGGCAAGAUUGAUGGAUGAGCCAACCUAAAAAGUCAGGAUGAUGGUGACAAGUUUUUGGGAUGAGCUAUGUUCAAAAUCACAGCAAGUGCAUAGUAUAAGUAGGAUAUCUCCACAGAGUAAAUGUUGUGUUGUCUGUCUUCAUUUUGUAUCAGCUGGACCUUCCUUUCUAGAAUUAUGAGACUACCUUGGAGAAAGAUGUGUGGUACAUGACUCUGGGUUACAUCAUAACGUGCUUCCAGAUCGUAGUGUUCAAUGUCCUCUGAAGUAACUGCCUGUUGCCUCUGCUGCCCUUUGAACCAGUGUACAGUCGCCAGAUAGGGACCGGUGAACACCUGAUUCCAAACAUGUAGGAUGGAGGUCUUGUCCUUUUUUUAUGUGGUUUAAUUGUUAAGUGUCUAAAGCUUAAUAUGCUGUGCUAUGUAAAUAUUUUAUGGAUAUAACACUGUCAUAUUUUGAUGUCAACAGAGUUUUAGAGAUAAAAUGGUAUCCGGCCAACAUCAAGUGACUUUAUAGCUGCAAGAAAUGUGGUAUGUGGAGAAGUUCUGUAUGUGAGGAAGGAAAAAAAGAAAAUUAAAGUGCAUUUGAAAAAUA